rnacentral:rRNA from 1 species
UACAGAGGGUGCAAGCGUUGUUCGGAAUUAUUGGGCGUAAAGCGCGUGUAGGCGGCUUUGCAAGUCGGGUGUGAAAUCCCUCAGCUUAACUGAGGAAGUGCGCCCGAAACUGCUUUGCUUGAGUGCCGGAGAGGAUGGCGGAAUUCCCCAAGUAGAGGUGAAAUUCGUAGAUAUGGGGAGGAACACCGGUGGCGAAGGCGGCCAUCUGGACGGUAACUGACGCUGAGACGCGAAAGCGUGGGGAGCGAACAGG